GGGGAUUUAGCUUAGUGGUAUAAGUACCUGCCUGGCAAGCACAAGGUUGUGAGUUCAAUCCCCA
rfam:Cavia porcellus supercont2_123 genomic scaffold, whole genome shotgun sequence.